rnacentral:rRNA from 1 species
UACGUAGGGGGCAAGCGUUGUUCGGAAUCAUUGGGCGUAAAGAGCGUGUAGGCGGCCAGUUAAGUCCGCUGUGAAAUCUCGAGGCUCAACUUCGAGCUGUCGGUGGAAACUGUCUGGCUAGAGUCCGGAAGAGGAGAAUGGAAUUCCUGGUGUAGCGGUGAAAUGCGCAGAUAUCAGGAAGAACACCCGUGGCGAAGGCGGUUCUCUGGGACGGUACUGACGCUGAGACGCGAAAGCGUGGGGAGCGAACAGG